GAGGGUAUAGCUCAACUGGUAGAGCGCAUGCUUAGCAUGCACAAGGUCCUGGGUUUGGUCCCCAGUACCUCCA
rnacentral:tRNA from 1 species